GACGAACGCUGGCGGCGUGCUUAACACAUGCAAGUCGAACGGAAAGGCCCUGCUUUUGUGGGGUGCGCGAGUGGCGAACGGGUGAGUAACACGUGAGUAACCUGCCCUCGACUUUGGGAUAACUUCAGGAAACUGGGGCUAAUACCGGAUAGGAGCUCCUGCUGCAUGGGGGGGGUUGGAAAGUGUCGGCGGUUGGGGAUGGACUAGCGGCUUAUCAGCUUGUUGGUGGGGGAGUGGCUUACCAAGGCUUUGACGGGUAGCGGGCCUGAGAGGGUGACCGGCCACAUUGGGACUGCGAUACGGCCCAGACUCCUACGGGAGGCAGCAGUGGGGAAUAUUGCACAAUGGGCGGAAGCCUGAUGCAGCAACGCCGCGUGCGGGAUGACGGCCUUCGGGUUGUAAACCGCUUUCGCCUGUGACGAAGCGUGAGUGACGGUAAUGGGUAAAGAAGCACCGGCUAACUACGUG
rnacentral:rRNA from 1 species